rnacentral:rRNA from 1 species
GACGUAGGGCGCGAGCGUUAAUCGGAAUUACUGGGCGUAAAGCGUGCGCAGGCGGCGCGUUAAGACAGGUGUGAAAGCCCCGAGCUUAACUUGGGAAUUGCGCUUGUGACUGGCGUGCUGGAGUGUGGCAGAGGGAGGUGGAAUUCCACGUGUAGCAGUGAAAUGCGUAGAGAUGUGGAGGAACACCGAUGGCGAAGGCAGCCUCCUGGGCCAGCACUGACGCUCAUGCACGAAAGCGUGGGGAGCGAACAGG